GCCCGCGCCUGCAAAGCGCCCGGGCGCUGGGAGCGGCGCUGCGUGGGGCGCAGAGGCCGGCGCCUCGGAGCUUCCUUCCCGACGGGGGCCAGGCCUUCGCCCGCGCGCCCACGGCCGGGCUUCGGGAGCUGACGGCGCCGUCCCCACGCUCCCCGCCGCCUCCGCGCACUCCAGGCCCCGGGGUUCUCGGCUGGAGUCGCUUCCACGUUCAGCUUGCGAGUCCACCCCGCCGCCCUCUUGGGUUCCCUCCUCGGGAUGUGUCCGCAGCGAUGGCCACCGGCCGCCGGGAACCGCUGCAAGACGCGCGACCUCCCGCUCCCCUCGCGGGGGUCCCAGCGCCCUCGAUUCUGCCUGAUUUCCAGGGGCCUCCCCGGAGCCCAAGGAGGAUAAUACAGCAUCUCUGGUAUCUGGGCAGGACCCCCACACAUCCCGGCCUCUGCACACCAGAGUCCGGUGGUACCCCCACCCAGCUGUGACUGCCAACACCGUCCCGGACAUUGCUGAGUGGUCCCCGGGGGCAGAAGUGCCCCGGUUGAGAGCAACUGCCCUACCGAAGGAGGUGCAAGCCAGGGAACAGAGGACUGGGCAAAAGCGAGUGCUGUUUGGAACUCAGAGGGCCUGGAGAAGGCGUGCAGGACUCCUGGAGCCUACUCUGGGGCAUCCUGAGUACAGGCACUAGGCCACCGAAUGAACCCUCAGCUUCCCAGGUAUCCGGGCCCAGAAAGGUGUGAGGACAUUUCCGCGCUGCAAAGGGUUGCUCCCAUCAUGAGUUAGUGAACGCCUUUCUCAUUUAUGUGUCAGUCUCCUGUUGAGUCUGGCUAACGGGGAGUGGUCUUGGGGAGACCCAUCAGAGGCAGCGACCAGCCAGGCUCCUGCGGUCCUGGGAGGCAGCUGGUAGCCUUCGUGGGGGGUGCUGACUGCAUCCCCAGAGUGCAGAGAGAUCAAUGAAGACAGCACUCGAGUCAGAAAUCAAUGUUUACUGCAGAGAACACAGAAGCCAGCAAGCAGCAGGGAAGGGAGGUGUCGUAGCGAGCAUGUCGGGCAGGCUGGGAACCAGCGCAGCGGCCCACGCGGACCGAGGAAGACAAACGCAGAGCAACUCACAGGAAGCGCAGCUGAAAACAGACGCUUAUCCCAGAUGCACAGGACACUUACCAAGGAUGGAUGGUCUCAGAGUCAUGCUCAACAGCUUUGGCUGGCAGGACAGUUAAAGUUUUGGACAAUAGAAAGUAAGAGUGGGAAAGGGGACAUCUGCCCCAACACGAGAGGCCAAGACCACAGCUGUUACAGGAGGGGUCAGCGCCGUAGUACACGGGUGGCGGCGGCUGCACAUGCGUGCCCGGGGAAUGAGAGUGUUCGGACAUGCCAGGUACCCAGCCUGGGGAAUGAGAGUGUUCGGACAUGCCAGGUGUCCAGCCUCACCAGGAAACAGGCACACGGGGACAGAGGUGCAAACAUGAAAACCCUCGCUGAAUCCACUCGCCUGAGUGGUGGCCACGGGAGCAUGGUGCUGCACUCCCCACAAACCUGAAACUGGGCCCCAGGGCGAGAGGCAUGGAAGGUGCAGGGGUGCAGGGAUAUGGGUAGGGGCUGCCAGGUCAGAGGCGUGUCCAGGAACCCCCAUCAGGCUGGAGCCCUGCCCUGAGCCGCCUGCAGGGGUGACUGUGGGACAGCAGCGUUAGGCUCGGUCUUGGCUGUGAGGUCGCUCCCACUGCCACGCAUGACCCUGGGAUUCUGUCAAGGUGGGGGCCGUCUGCUUGGCACGAGCUCCCUGACCAUGUGGCUGGGUUUGCGGAGGAAACCAACACCAGGCUCUGUAAGCACGAGGCUCCCUGCCGGCCCCAUCCCAGAGUGCACUCCAUCCUUCCCGCAUCCCUGGGCUCAGCUGUUCCUCACUGACCUCAGAGACACCCUGCCCUGCCCCAGCUCCACAGGAGCCCUGCCCGCCACCACCUCAGCUCUGAGUCUCCCCUGGGGACACGGUCUUUCUCCUGGUGCAGAGGCGCAGGACGCUGCCCCCAGGGCCUAUCUUCCUCUGCAGCAUGUUUUGAUGUCAGCUCAUUCACAGGAAAGAAACGGUCACAUCUCAGUGCCCCAAAUGGGGACCAAUAGGAGAGGUCACUGGGAACGAAGUCCGGGUACACUCCGGGGUCCAUGGGCUCUCCAGAAACGCAGGCGGACCCCACCCCCCACCAGAGCCAACAAGCCUCAGUCACUGAUCGGCCCCUCCCUGCUUCCCCGUGUCGAAGAGGAAACAGAGGCCCAGAUGAGGAGGGCUGGCUGGCUGCAUGCCCAGACCUCUGGUCCCAGGGCUGGCUGGCAGCGCCCCUCCCCUGCUCACUUCCUGCUCUCCUGAAAUAUGGCUCAGGGACGCGGCCUGUGGGGACAGAUGCUGGCAUAGCUCACAAAAUGCUCGCACAAGCGACACUCCAUGGCACGUCCCUGCAGCAGAGCCAAGUCACAGCAUUUGAGGUCCUCUGCACUCUGAGGCCCACAGAGCUCGGCUGGCCAAGUGAGGCUGGUGCCCGCUGGUCAGGGCAGUCACAAGAACGGAGGACAGUGGAUGGUCACAGGGAAGAUUUCAGAAGGCCAGGCCUAGAAGAGGCGCCCAUCACUCCUGCUCACAUCUGCAGAACAGAAUGCAGUGGUGCAAUCACAGUUCACUGAAGCGUCAACCUCCCGGGCUCAACUGAUCCUCCUGCCUCAGCCUCCCGAGCAUAUGGGACCGAAAUGAAAUCUCACUAUGUUCCCAGGCUGUCUUAAACUCCUGAGCUCAAUCGAUCCUCCCACCUUGGCCUCCCAGUGUGCUGGGAUGACAGGCGUGAGCCACCACGCCUGGCCUGCAAGUGCUUAGUACCUUUUUUCAUGUAUAUGUGUAUGAGUGACACUGAACCGUAAUUUUGAUAUCCAGAUUAUACUCACUUCAGAAAAUAACAUAGGGUGUGUUUCCUGUUUGUCUCCGAGUCUGGGUAAAACUGGAGCUGUCUCUUGAAGUCACGUGCAAAGCACCUGGACUUGGCGUUCUUUGGCAAGACUGAGAAUCAUCCACACAAUCUCUGUCAUGGCUACGGACUCUGUGUGCGUGUCUCCUCGAGCUGGGCUGCCGCGUGACUUUCCUCUUGACGGUCGAGCCGUUUCGGUGGCGUUCUUUUUGUCAGCACGGGCUUUUCUCACCUUUCCAGCAGCGGAUGUGGCUGCACUGUCUUCCCUUCUCCUUCCUAAUGGUUGAUUUGCUCCUUUUUUUCUUAGUCAUUCUGCCAGAGAAUGUCAAUUUUAAUAGUCCUUUCAAAGAACCCACUCUUUUUUUUUUAUUUUUAUUUUUUUGAGGUGGAGUCUUGCUCUGUCGCCCGGGCUGG